ACAUAAACGACAAGCAGUAUAAGGUUCUAAGUGAUGUCGAUAAU
rnacentral:guide_RNA from 1 species